CCGUCCCUCAUCCACACCUUGUUUAGGAGCAGGUUCUUGCAGUCCUUCAACAAAGGCAUUAUCUGUCCUUCCUGAGGAAGAGCAAGGGUGUCCUUGGCUAGGUAGCACUUCUGGACCUUUAGGCCUUUGAAGUGACAACCGGGAAGGCUGUUCCUGGCUUGGGAGAACAUCUGGACCUUUAGGCCUUUGGAAAGACAACCUGGAAGGCUGUUCCUGGCUGGAUAGAACUUCUGCACCUUUUUGCCUUUGGAGAGACAACCGGCAAGGCUGUUCAGGACUGGGUAGCGCUUCUGGAUCUUUGUUCCUCUGAAGAGACAACCGGCAAGGCUGUUCCUCUUUGGGUAGCACUACUCG
rnacentral:lncRNA from 1 species